UACAAAAUCUUUAAUAAAAACUUGAGGCCUG
rnacentral:piRNA from 1 species